rnacentral:lncRNA from 1 species
CCGCAGAUGCCUCCGCGUCCUCCAACCGCGCGCACGUUCCACCCUCUGUGAGUCGCGCCGCGUCGCCUUGUGCUCGUGCUCGUGCUCGCGCUGUGCGUCUUGGCGCGCCACCCGCCGACGAGCGCCUCUUGACACAGUUGCAUCUCGCCGAGUGCACACGGGUCCACUUCCACCCGACUCGAUCCGACGUCUCGACGACAAAAACCUACAAGGAAGCGUGCGGUGCUUCAUGGAACGGUCUGUCUCUUUGACCAUCCGACGUUGGUCCAGCGUCGCGCCCAGUGACUGGAUGUGAGCUCAACCAUUCGAUCGGUCUCGGAGUAUGUGUUGAACACGAGUGCGUGCGGGGACUAUGAGG